rnacentral:rRNA from 1 species
GAUGAACGCUGGCGGCGUGCCUAAUACAUGCCAGUCGAGCGAACGGACGAGAAGCUUGCUUCUCUGAUGUUAGCGGCGGACGGGUGAGUAACACGUGGAUAACCUACCUAUAAGACUGGGAUAACUUCGGGAAACCGGAGCUAAUACCGGAUAAUAUUUUGAACCGCAUGGUUCAAAAGUGAAAGACGGUCUUGCUGUCACUUAUAGAUGGAUCCGCGCUGCAUUAGCUAGUUGGUAAGGUAACGGCUUACCAAGGCAACGAUGCAUAGCCGACCUGAGAGGGUGAUCGGCCACCCUGGAACUGAGACACGGUCCAGACUCCUACGGGAGGAAGCAGUAGGGAAUCUUCCGCAAUGGGCGAAAGCCUGACGGAGCAACGCCGCGUGAGUGAUGAAGGUCUUCGGAUCGUAAAACUCUGUUAUUAGGGAAGAACAUAUGUGUAAGUAACUGUGCACAUCUUGACGGUACCUAAUCAGAAAGCCACGGCUAACUACGUG